rnacentral:rRNA from 1 species
GACAGAGGAUGCAAGCGUUAUCCGGAAUGAUUGGGCGUAAAGCGUCUGUAGGUGGCUUUUUAAGUCUGCCGUCAAAUCCCAGGGCUUAACCCUGGACAGGCGGUGGAAACUACCAAGCUGGAGUACGGUAGGGGCAGAGGGAAUUUCCGGUGGAGCGGUGAAAUGCGUAGAUAUUGGGAGGAACACCAGUGGCGAAGGCGGCUCACUGGACCGGUACUGACGCUGAUGCGCGAAAGCGUGGGGAGCAAACAGG